GGGACCUUUGCCCACGUAGGCGUGCCCGGAAGUUCUCGUAACCCGGCCCCGCCCCUCCAUGCUUGGUUGGUUUGAGCAAAAAUGGCGGAUUCAGGAUGUAGGGUUUGCAAAGGAAGUUGGCUCCUAGCUAAGUUGCACUUCACAUUGUUCUUCAAAAUACUCUUGGCGUAUCAUGGUUUGCAUUUAAAAAAGAAAAAUAUACGGAAUGCUUGUCAAAAUGUGGUAAGGAUGACUAUUUAGGAUGUGAGCAUAAAUACAAGUGCACCGGUAUUUUGCAGUGGGGGAAAGUGGACUCAACUCAAAAUACAGCAUGUGUACAUUGGAUUUUAUAGUCCUUUUGAGUCUGUGGAUGGAUAGUUACUAAGAGGAAACAUCAGGGGUAAAUGGAAUUCUAUCUAAGACUUAACGAAUUCUUGCUGAAAGCAAGCCAGAGUGAUUAGAGGUUACCUGGAGGUAGGCUGAGGGAUAAGAAUCCUGAUCAUGUGUGGAGCGUGAUCAGAUAUGGAGGGGGAUUCUUGGUAAAUUUAGCAAGGUUUUUUGCUAAAACUAAAUGUCUAAGGAAUUGCACAGAUGGCCCUAGGAGAAAUUUCAAAAGUUUGAUUAAAAUUUGCCAAGCAGAAUCUGUAAAUAUCACCAAGGAAAUGCCAUAGUAAGCUUGGGGAGCCGGAUUUAUACUUGAGUGUGAGGCCACUUUUUUAAAAGUAUUUCUUUAAUUGUUGAUAGACCUUUGUUCUAUUUAUUUAUUUAGUUAUAUGUGGUGCUGAGAAUCAAACCUAGUGCCUCACACAUAUCAGUUACAGAUACCCCAUUGAAAACUUUUGCCUAACUUCAGUGAAAUUGGUAGGACCAGUGAAAAUGCCACUUGUGUGUCAGCCACAGCUAGACAGAAAGUUCUAGGUGUAUGCCAGGACCAAUGCUGAUGUCAGAUAACUGUGAAUCAUCAGAUAUUCAGACAAGAUCUAUGUCCUGGGACAUAGAAGUAACCAGGCAAGUUUCACAGAGGUAUUUAAAAUGACAAAAGAGUUUAACAAAAAGGAUAUUAGCCCUACAUAGUUUGUGGACUCAUUUCUAGGUACUGUGUCUGAGUUUCAUGUUUGAUAAUUUAAAAAUCACUACAUAAUAUCUUAAGCUGUAUAACCUACAUACACAAAAUACCUCUUGGUUACAGAGGCUCCCUUUUAUUCUAUAAUUAAAGAAAGAUCUUAAAUCUAUCUGACAGUUACUUUCACUUUAAUGCUUCUCUUAUUAUAGAACUUUUUUUGUAUUCCAAAUUUGGAUUAUAAUCUUUCUGAAAGUUAAUGCCUGAAAGUUCAUUGGACUCUGAAAUAUAGUUUUCCUCCUCUUAAGGAGACUUUAAUGAUUGGUCCUUCUAGAUAGCUUAAAUAUAUGAAUGUUGGAGUAUAGUGUUGAAUUUAAAAGGGAAAAGUAUCAACCAUCUUUCCUAGAGAACUAUCAAAUAAAGACAGUGUCUGAGAAGGCCAUGCUAUGACUUUCUGCAAGUAAUGGAAAAUUCAUGAAAGGAAAACAGAAAUGUGAUGUAUAAAUAGUUUUUUAAGUAUGUUGGAAAUGGGACGUAUGUAAGACCUACAACAGACUUUUUAAAAUGAUUCAUCCAAUAUUAAUUAUGCAUUGAGCUUUCAAUAAUGGACUAAUAUAGUCCAGAUCACUGUGAUAAUCAGUAUAUGAGCAACAUUAUGAGACUAACAUUGUCUCAGUAUAUAAUGAUAUAUGCAUUCUCAACUACUUGAAAAUUAUAUUAUGGACAAGUGUAUAAUCAGUCAGCUAGCUAAUGGCCAAAGAAAUUUUAGGGUUUUUUUUACCAUAUUUUUUUAUUUGUUUUAAUUAGUUACACAUGACAGUACAAUGACCUUGACAUAUCAUAUAUUUGAAUCAGAUGGGAUAUAAUUUCUCAUUUUUCUGA